GGAAACAGUUGCUAAGACUGGAUAGGAAAUUAGAAGGCAUCUUUUAAUUUUUAAAAGACCUUUUUCGAAAGGUAUACUUAAAGAGGGGCUUGCGGCACAUUAGUUAGUUGGUAGGGUAAAAGCCUACCAAGACCAUGAUGUGUAGCUGGACUGAGAGGUUGAACAGCCACAUUGGGACUGAGACACGGCCCAAACUCCUACGGGAGGCAGCAGUAGGGAAUUUUCGGCAAUGGAGGAAACUCUGACCGAGCAACGCCGCGUGAACGAUGAAGUAUUUCGGUAUGUAAAGUUCUUUUAUUGGAGAAGAAAAAAUAGUGGAAAAACUAUCUUGACGAUAUUCAAUGAAUAAGCCCCGGCAAACUAUGUGCCAGCAGCCGCGGUAAUACAUAGGGGGCGAGCGUUAUCCGGAAUUAUUGGGCGUAAAGGGUGCGUAGGCGGUUUGGUAAGUCUAUAGUUUAAUUUCAGUGCUUAACACUGUUCUGCUAUAGAAACUAUCAGACUAGAGUGAGAUAGAGGCAAGUGGAAUUCCAUGUGUAGCGGUAAAAUGCGUAAAUAUAUGGAGGAACACCAGAGGCGUAGGCGGCUUGCUGGGUCUUUACUGACGCUGAGGCACGAAAGCGUGGGGAGCAAACAGGAUUAGAUACCCUGGUAGUCCACGCCGUAAACGAUGAGUACUAAGUGUCGGGGAAACUCGGUACUGAAGUUAACACAUUAAGUACUCCGCCUGAGUAGUACGUACGCAAGUAUGAAACUUAAAGGAAUUGACGGGACUCCGCACAAGCGGUGGAUCAUGUUGUUUAAUUCGAAGAUACACGAAAAACCUUACCAGGUCUUGACAUACUCUGCAAAGCUAUAGCAAUAUAGCGGAGGUUAUCAGGGAUACAGGUGGUGCAUGGUUGUCGUCAGCUCGUGUCGUGAGAUGUUAGGUUAAGUCCUAAAACGAGCGCAACCCUUGUCACUAGUUGCCAGCAUGUUAUGAUGGGCACUUUAGUGAGACUGCCAAUGAAAAAUUGGAGGAAGGUGAGGAUCACGUCAAAUCAUCAUGCCCCUUAUGAUCUGGGCUACAAACGUGAUACAAUGGCUGUUACAAAGAGUAGCUAAAACGCGAGUUUAUAGCCAAUCUCAUAAAAGCAGUCUCAGUUCGGAUUGAAGUCUGCAACUCGACUUCAUGAAGUUGGAAUCGCUAGUAAUCGCGAAUCAGCAUGUCGCGGUGAAUACGUUCUCGGGGUUUGUACACACCGCCCGUCAAACCACGAAAGUUGGUAAUA
rnacentral:rRNA from 1 species